GCAAUGCACCGCCAUUCGUCGCAACUUCACUAUUGUUUUGCCCGAGAAGACAGUACACGUAUUUCCUUGUACAUAAUUAUAUUAAAUUAUACAUCUACCAAGUGACAUUACAACGGGAAAUAAAAACAAAUACUUAUUGGAAAGUAUCAAUGCUUUAAAAUGUCUAGUGCGAAACUAUUGAAAUGCUGUUUCUUUAUGGGGAUUUUUAAUUCUGUAUUAUAUGCGCUAUUAACGUGUGCUAGCCUAGCUUCAUUUAUAUAUUUAAUAGCAUGUUUAUUGUUCGGUACUCCGCCAGAUACCGUAUAUAUCUUACUAGGGUGCGUUGUGUUUCUACUGAACUAUGGUGCAAUUUCUUUUGCAUUUUCUGUUAUUCUAGUCGUCGGUAUUCGCAAGAAAAACCGUAAGUACGUAGAAGUGUACUUAAUUUACGAUUUUAUAGUGACCAUGUUAUGUAUGACAGCGACAGUUGUUUACUGGGUCGUAUUCAAAGGAGGACAAAUCUCAAUAAGUGCAGUUUCCUUAACAAUGUGUUGUAUUAAUCUGUUGAUGUCUAUAAUAGCGCUCAAGACUUACAAGAACUUUAAUACUGUAAGAAGACCAACUGCGGAAAAUUUACUCAUAACCCAAAAUCAAAUUCUAUUUAUAGAGAGUAAAUGAGAUUAUUAGUUUAGCACCAUUAAAUUUAAGUACUUAACUAAUACAUAGUCAAACUA